rnacentral:rRNA from 1 species
UACGGGGGGGGCAAGCGUUGUUCGGAAUUACUGGGCGUAAAGGGCUCGUAGGUGGCCAACUAAGUCAGACGUGAAAUCCCUCGGCUCAACUGAGGAACUGCACGGGAAACUGACGGGCUUGAGUUCGGGAGAGGGAAGCGGAAUUCCGGGUGUAGCGGUGAAAUGCGUAGAUAUCCGGAGGAACACCGGUGGCGAAGGCGGCUUCCUGGACCGACACUGACGCUGAGGCGCGAAAGCUAGGGGAGCAAACGGG